AUUGAACGCUGGCGGCAGGCCUAACACAUGCAAGUCGAACGGUAACAGGAAGCAGCUUGCUGCUUCGCUGACGAGUGGCGGACGGGUGAGUAAUGUCUGGGAAACUGCCUGAUGGAGGGGGAUAACUACUGGAAACGGUAGCUAAUACCGCAUAACGUCGCAAGACCAAAGAGGGGGACCUUAGGGCCUCUUGCCAUCGGAUGUGCCCAGAUGGGAUUAGCUAGUAGGUGGGGUAACGGCUCACCUAGGCGACGAUCCCUAGCUGGUCUGAGAGGAUGACCAGCCACACUGGAACUGAGACACGGUCCAGACUCCUACGGGAGGCAGCAGUGGGGAAUAUUGCACAAUGGGCGCAAGCCUGAUGCAGCCAUGCCGCGUGUAUGAAGAAGGCCUUCGGGUUGUAAAGUACUUUCAGCGGGGAGGAAGGGAGUAAAGUUAAUACCUUUGCUCAUUGACGUUACCCGCAGAAGAAGCACCGGCUAACUCCGUGCCAGCAGCCGCGGUAAUACGGAGGGUGCAAGCGUUAAUCGGAAUUACUGGGCGUAAAGCGCACGCAGGCGGUUUGUUAAGUCAGAUGUGAAAUCCCCGGGCUCAACCUGGGAACUGCAUCUGAUACUGGCAAGCUUGAGUCUCGUAGAGGGGGGUAGAAUUCCAGGU
rnacentral:rRNA from 1 species